rnacentral:rRNA from 1 species
CACGGGGGGAGCAAGCGUUGUUCGGAAUCACUGGGCGUAAAGCGUGCGCAGGCGGUUCGUUGUGUCGGUGGUGAAAGCCCCGGGCUUAACCUGGGAAUGGCCAUGGAAACUGGCGAACUGGAGUGUGGCAGAGGGGGGUGGAAUUCCGCGUGUAGCAGUGAAAUGCGUAGAGAUGCGGAGGAACACCGAUGGCGAAGGCAGCCCCCUGGGCUAGCACUGACGCUCAGGCACGAAAGCGUGGGGAGCAAACAGG